CUUCCCCUGGGUUCGGCUCAAAUCGAGGCCCCGCCCCUCCAAGGUAAGGCCCUACCCAGGACACGCCCUUCUCAGUCCAGGCUCCGCCCCUCCCCGGGCCUUCCAGGCUCCUCCCUUUCCUGCUGCGGCCCCGCCCCCAGGUCCUGGAGGGGCUGGCGCUGGAAGCUUCUGGGGCGCGCAGCUUGGGCUUGGCACACGCUGGGAAGUAAGUCCGGGACUUCCGCCCUCGGCGAAGUGAGCCAGGCAGGCCUUCGAUGGACCCAAGGCUUCAGCGACUUCGGAGCGGAGGCCUUGCCUGAGCGCCCUGGUGAAAGCGGCCUAAUGAAGGCGGGUGGAGGUCCCUGCCAGAACCCCCAGCCUCAAACCGGGAGAAGCAGCGGAAGGACGUUCCCUUAGAGAAGUUACGUUUGUGGACAAGCCUGCGCUUCAGAAACCACAGAUGUGCCACCGUCCAAACCGGUGUCCCCACUUUCACUGAGCGCCCUUCCAGCCCCUGCUCUUUCUAGAGAGAAAAGGAGGACGCUCCAGGAUUCGUUUUCCUCACCCACGGCCUCCGAGGCCCGAGGUGUUCCCUUCCUCCUUUGUGUAGGAGUCGGAUGUGUGUCUGGUAGGAACGCUGCCAGCCUGAGUGCCCUGGGCAAGGCUGAAGGGGCAGUCGAUCCCAGGUCAAUCCCAGGUCAAUGAAGUGAUUCAUUCCCAUAACUUCCCAGUAGAUGGAUCAGGAAGAUCCGGGAGAAUCCUUCCAACAAAAACUGCUGUGCUUGUCUUUGUCACCAGGAUAAUUACAGGUGCUAAAAGGAAAAAAGGGAAACAGAAGCCUAACCAGCAGUCCGUGAAUGCAUCUAUAAGACAACAGACUCAGCUCGGAGGAGGCUGGCCCCUGGUCUUUUCCCAGGUAAGACGUGACUGGGCCGUAGCAGCUCCACAGGCUUCACCAGCAAGGCCAUGUGAUGCUGUUCCAUUAGGUAGAUUGAUGCCUCUGGUACGUCUUUACCAAGUGCCAGCUGUGGGCUGGGUACGGUGCUCGGGUUUGGGGAUGCACGGGGAACAGAACAAAGACCCCUGUCUUCAAGGAAGGUGCAUUCCAGUUUGGAGACAAUACAGAUAACAACUGUAAUAAAUAGGCACAUUCUCUAGUUUGCUGCAGGUGCUGAGGGCUCUGGAGAGAGGAGGAGGAAGGUGGGCUGGGGGCAUUGACACUGUUUGGCAGAGCGGGUUUGUGGACGGGGCAGUUUGCCAUCCUAAGUGACCAUGUUCAGAACAGGCGUAACUCGGAAUUCCGGUUUUGGCUCAGCGGGUUAAGAACCCGACAUAGUGUCUGUGAGGAUGUGGAUUCGAUCCCUGGCCUCGCUUGGUGGGUUAAGGAUCUGGCAUCGGCUAGAACUGCAGUGUAGGUUGCAGACAUGGCUCAGAUCAGGUGUUGACGUGGCUGUGGUGUAGGCCAGCAGCUGCAGCUCCAUUUUGACCCCUAGACUGGGAACCUCCAUAUGCUGCAGGUGUGGCCGUAAAAAGGAAAAAAAAAAAAAAAAAAACAGGCCUCACUGAGAAGGUGAGAUUUAGGCUGAAAUUUGAAGGAGGUGAAGGAACCAGCUGAGUGACUGGACAGUAGAGCAGAGGCCUGGAGGCAGGAUGGAGGGGGCAGCGUGGCUGGCGCAGCGUGUGGAGUUGGGGGCAAGGCGUGUGGGCCUGGCUGACCGUUGUUGGGACCUUGGCUCUCAACUCUGAGCGAGAAGGGGCCGUGGCGGGGCUCGGACAGGAGAGUGCUGCGAUCUGACACAUGCUCUAAAUGGGACACUGUGCCUACUGUGUGGAAAGAGAAUCAGGGCAGAGGCAGGAGGACCAGAGCUGAGAACACAUGGGUCUUGUGCCUCAUUCCAGGAUGGCAAGUGCAGCCAUGCGCCUGGGGGAGCUUCUGGAUUUAUUCUGUUAGGUUGAGUCAGAAGCUGUCUCUGGUGGAUCUGAAUGCAGAAUGUGAGAGGAAUCAAGAAUGGUUCUGAAAGCUUGGCCUCGGCAAGUGGAAGUAUGCAGUUACCAUCCAUUUAGGCUAGAAAUUAUUCAUGCAGCAUUGUCUAUGCUCUGUAAUAACCAAAGGAUGCAACCCUCCUAAAGAUAUUGAUAACCCGAAUCUGCCUGAAUCAUCAUAAAAUAGUGUAUAAAGUAGGAUCCAGUGUCAUCUGUGCGGAGCAAACUGCCAAGGACUUAAAAAGUAGAAAAAUUGAAAACUGGAGUCCAUUCUUGACUCAUGAGAGUGUAUACUAAGAAGGCAUGGUGCAUCAAUUUUUUUUGAAGUAAAUUUCCAGAAAUUCCUUUGCACCCCAAACCUAGUCAUGGACGCUACUAAAUGAGUGGGAAAUAAAACAUGACGUUAACAUUCUUGGAGUUCUCGUGUGGCUCAGUGGGCUAAGGGUCCAAUGUUGUCAUUGGUGUGGCUUGGGUCACUCACUGCUUUGGUAUGGGUUCGACCCCUGGCCCAGGAACUUCUUCAUGCCACAGGGGUGGUCAAAUAAAUAAAUAUUUAAAAGUAAAAAAGAAUAUUAUCCAGGGUUUAAAAGCUGCAUAUAAACAGUGACCGCUGUCUGCAUGUUUCAAUCUGAUUUUUAUAAUGUACCCCAUUUCAUUCAGGGCCUGUGAUUCCUUAUUGAUUUUCUGUCUUGAUGAUCUGUCCAUUGCUGAAAGUGGGGUGUUGAAGUUCCCCACUAUUGCUUUGUUAUUGUUGAUUUCUCCUUUUACGGUUGUUAGCAGUUGCCUUAUGUAUUGUGGUGAUCCUAUGUUGGGUGCAUAGAUAUUUAAAAUUGUUGUAUCUUCUUCUUGGAUUGAUCCUUUGAUCAUUGUGUAGUGUCCUUCUUUGUCUUUUAAAAUAGUCUUCAUUUUCUUUUUCUCUUUUUUUCUUUUUAGGGCCGCACCUGCGGCAUAUGGAGAUUCCCAGGCUGGGGGUUUAAUAGGAGCCAUAGCUGCCGGCCUACGCCACAGUCACAGCAACGCCAGAUCCGAACCGCCUCUGCGACCUACACCACAGCUCACGGCAGUGCUGGAUCCUUAACCGGCUGAGUGGGGCCAGGGAUCGAACCCGCAACCUCAUGGUUCCUAGUCGGAUUCGUUUCUACUCCACCAUGAUGGGAACUCCAAAUAGUCUUCAUUUUAAGGUCUAUUUUGUCUGAUGUGAGUAUUGCUACUCCAGCUUUUUUCUGAUUCUCGUUUGCAUGGAAUAUUUUCUUCCAUCCUCUCACUUUCAAUUUGUAUAUGUCCCCAGAAAUGAAGUGGGUCUCUUGAAGACAGCAUAUAUAUGGGUCUUGUUUUUGUAUCCGUUCAGCCAGUCUGUGUCUUUUGGUUGGGGCAUUUAGUCCAUUAACAUUUAAGGUAAUUAUUGAUAUGUAUGUUGUAAUUGCCAUUUUAUUAACUGUUUUGGAUUUGUUUUUGUUGCUCUUUUUUUCUUCCCUUCUUCUCUUGUUCUCUCC
rnacentral:lncRNA from 9 species